UAGGCAACCUUAGAAUUGAAAGAAGCUUUCAAAGAUCCCUCAACGAUACAGACAUUAUGUCAGAUACUUGGAACAUCGACACAGCCUCAGAUUCGACAGUAUGCUGCUGUUCUUUUAAGAAGAAAAAUACACAAGACCAAGCAGUGGGCCAGCUUGGAUACUGGACUCAAAGAAAACAUUAGAGGCAAUAUAUUACAACUGCUUAUACAAGAGACUGA
rnacentral:sRNA from 1 species